rnacentral:rRNA from 1 species
UGGGGAAUAUUGCACAAUGGGCGCAAGCCUGAUGCAGCCAUGCCGCGUGUGUGAAGAAGGCCUUCGGGUUGUAAAGCACUUUCAGCGAGGAGGAAGGUGGUGAGCUUAAUACGCUCAUCAAUUGACGUUACUCGCAGAAGAAGCACCGGCUAACUCCGUGCCAGCAGCCGCGGUAAUACGGAGGGUGCAAGCGUUAAUCGGAAUUACUGGGCGUAAAGCGCACGCAGGCGGUUUGUUAAGUCAGAUGUGAAAUCCCCGGGCUCAACCUGGGAACUGCAUUUGAAACUGGCAAGCUAGAGUCUCGUAGAGGGGGGUAGAAUUCCAGGUGUAGCGGUGAAAUGCGUAGAGAUCUGGAGGAAUACCGGUGGCGAAGGCGGCCCCCUGGACGAAGACUGACGCUCAGGUGCGAAAGCGUGGGGAGCAAACAGGAUUAGAUACCCCUGGUAGUCCACGCUGUAAACGAUGUCGAUUUUGGAGGUUGUGCCCUUGAGGCGUGGCUUCCGGAGCUAACGCGUU